UUUGAAAGGUCUUGAGAAAAAGAAUUCUCUGCAGAUACUUUUAAAUGAAUAACAACCUGGCCAUAGUGAAUUCCAACUGGUCUUCGUGGUGAGGAUCCUAGCGGUUGGAGUUUGUAAGCAACACCCCUCACAGAAUAUGCCUUUGGAAAUCUGUUCCUGAUUGUGUACGGCUAGGCUACAAGACCUCAGGAUCUGGGGGCCGAACACGACCCAGGAAAUCAUCAUGUCCCCCCAAAUCUCAGACAGUCACUGAUGAAGUUGAUGAAGUUCUGUCUCCUUGUGACGGUCCUUGGCCACUCACAUGUCCAGACCAAUUACUUCUGGAUGCAGUAUCUUCCAGCAAUGACUGUCUAGUCGUUAUAAUAUUAUGCCUUUGAAACAUGCACAAAGAAUUGCAUCUGAAAAGCAGUUAGUCAUUAUAUAUUUGUCAAAACCCACAGAAUGUACAACACUAAGAGUGAACCCUAGGGUAAACUGUGGCUUUGGGUGACAGUGAUGUGUUAGUGUAGAUUCUAUUGCAACAAAUGUGCUUUCUGGAGCGGGAUGUUGAUAAUGAGGAAAGUUGUGUGGGGUGGGGUACAAGGGAUAUAUGGGAACUCACUGUACUUUCUGUUCAACUUUGCUGUGAACCUAAAAUUGCUUUAAAAAGUAAUGUUUGUUGGCCAGGUGUGGUGGCUCACGCCUGUAAUCCCAGCACUUUGGGAGGCUGAGGCAGGGGGAUCACCUGAGGUCAAGAGUUCCAGACCAGCCUGGCCAACAUGGUGAAACCCCGCCACUACUAAAAGUACAAAAAUCAGCAGGGCAUGGUGGCAGGUGCCUGUAAUCUCAGCUACUUGGGAGGCUGGGGCAGGAGAAUUGCUGGAACUUAGGAGGCAGAGGUUGCAGUGAGCUGAAAUCGUGCCAUUGCACUCCAGCCUGGGCCGACAACAGCAAGACUCAGUCUCAAAAAAAAAAAUUUUUUUUUUAAAUUAUGUUUAUUAAUUAAAAAAAGAAAGAAAUCAUGGUCCUUUCUGUCUGUACAGGUGGACUUCAAUGUCUAUAUGUAGCAGUAAAGGAAAUACUGUCUGGCAUGAGCUCUGGGUCACUGGAGUUGGGCACUCUGGCUCCUUCUUUCCCAUCAAAAUAAAAUUAAAAAAUAAUAAAAUCAAUGACUGCUGG
rnacentral:lncRNA from 10 species